GGUUACAUCUAGGGACGGAUCUACAGUGUAAGGAGGUGGGGCACAUGCCCCACACUAAUCCUUGAUAAGUAU
rnacentral:sRNA from 1 species